AUUGAACGCUGGCGGCAUGCCUUACACAUGCAAGUCGAACGGCAGCACGGGUGCUUGCACCUGGUGGCGAGUGGCGAACGGGUGAGUAAUACAUCGGAACAUGUCCUGUAGUGGGGGAUAGCCCGGCGAAAGCCGGAUUAAUACCGCAUACGAUCUACGGACGAAAGCGGGGGACCUUCGGGCCUCGCGCUAUAGGGUUGGCCGAUGGCUGAUUAGCUAGUUGGUGGGGUAAAGGCCUACCAAGGCGACGAUCAGUAGCUGGUCUGAGAGGACGACCAGCCACACUGGGACUGAGACACGGCCCAGACUCCUACGGGAGGCAGCAGUGGGGAAUUUUGGACAAUGGGCGAAAGCCUGAUCCAGCAAUGCCGUGUGUGUGAAGAAGGCCUUCGGGUUGUAAAGCACUUUUGUCCGGAAAGAAAUCCUUGGCUCUAAUACAGUCGGGGGAUGACGGUACCGGAAGAAUAAGCACCGGCUAACUACGUG
rnacentral:rRNA from 1 species